rnacentral:rRNA from 1 species
UACGUAGGGGUCGAGCGUUGUCCGGAUUUAUUGGGCGUAAAGAGCGUGUAGGCGGCUAGAUAGGUCCGUUGUGAAAACUCGAGGCUCAACCUCGAGACGUCGAUGGAAACCAUCUGGCUAGAGUCCGGAAGAGGAGAGUGGAAUUCCUGGUGUAGCGGUGAAAUGCGCAGAUAUCAGGAAGAACACCCGUGGCGAAGGCGGCUCUCUGGUACGUGACUGACGCUGAGACGCGAAAGCGUGGGGAGCAAACAGG